UACGUAGGGUGCAAGCGUUGUCCGGAAUUAUUGGGCGUAAAGAGCUCGUAGGCGGUUUGUCGCGUCGGAUGUGAAAACCCAGGGCUCAACCCUGGGCCUGCAUUCGAUACGGGCAGGCUCGAGUUCGGUAGGGGAGACUGGAAUUCCUGGUGUAGCGGUGAAAUGCGCAGAUAUCAGGAGGAACACCGGUGGCGAAGGCGGGUCUCUGGGCCGAUACUGACGCUGAGGAGCGAAAGCGUGGGGAGCGAACAGG
rnacentral:rRNA from 1 species